CGGACAGCCCCAACUCUGCCUUUUACAGGGGGGGAGGACGAGGUUGUCUGUAUGGGGAAAUAUUACUACUACGAUUGCUGUGAAGAAACAGAAGGACCCGGUUGAUUUAAAACAGAUGGAUGGUCCCAAGCGACGUCACCAUCAACCGUCAGCACGAAGCUCGAGAACCUACUGCUGUUAUUCUGAAGGUGCUCGUUUCGUUUACAUCGCUCUGCUCAUACAGACAAGUCGGCAGUUGUGAGAGGCGCUUGACAACCCCACUAUAUCCACCCUUGUCUUCUGAGGCACUUCCUCCCACAAUAUAAGAUGAAGUAGCAUACGACGUUGCACAGGUGUGUGUAUCCAGCCUAGCCGCGUGGGUCUGGGUGGGCCCGAGGGGUUGGCUGUUAUCUUUGGUUAUCUAGCUGUAUGAGUGGUGUACAUUCUUCAUAAAGCUAGAUAACCGAAAGUAACAAGAAUCCCAUUGCGCUCCCGCAAGGCCUGUUUCUUGUGCCCGACAAACAAAACAAAAUGGCCGACGCCCGAGAGGAAGUGACUCAGCGUUUGUGUCCAGCCAACCGAUCAGAAGACUUAAAGGUGACCCAUCACAUUGAAGUUAUGAUGUCAAGGCCAGUCAUCUGGCUCCGCCUCCCUCUGAAGUCCACCACCUCCCGACGGCCACCCCACCUCACCAAUAGGGAUGUCCAUUUCCGAACAUAAUGGUGCCCACCUGACCUAAAUGGAACCCGGAUUGACUCCUCUUGUUAAACCUGAAGCACUUUGUUGACAUUGAGGGAUCUCCCUUUAGUUUGGGUGAACUUUGGGCACAUGCCUGGACUGAACAUGGGGGUAAUGUACUGUUGAGUCAUGGAUACCAAUGGAUACUCAACCACAGCUGCGUCUGUGGGCCUAACCCCCAGACUGUCUUCUGAACGUCCGGAUAUACCAAUCAAAGUAGAAGUUUAAACGGACCACUGUGAACUGUUGCGUUUCUGUCCUCCCACAGCUAACUAGCUGGAUACAUGGACACAAAUGGACAUAUCUGCGAUAAGCAGCCGGAUGUGGACCAUGAUAGUUGAGAAGAACAUAGACUAACACCCAUAUUGAAGCAUACUGGACUGGCGUAUGGAACGCCCAUGAGUCCGAAUGGUAGACACAUAGACCUUGAAGCGGAGUUGUUGUCCCGGAGCCGGAGUAUACCAUUCAACACAGACGGCAUAGGCCACUAGCCCCGUGUUUAGUGAGGGUUGUGAGAAGUGUGUGUGUGUGCGCUGUGCGGUGCCGGUACACCGGCCUCUCUGAGACGACUCUACACACAGCUGUAGCUGUCACAUCUGCCGUACGUUCGGGGCCGCGGGUCAGCUGAUCUGCCGAUGCGUCUGUGUGCUUGUUUGUUUACUUGUGCUUGUCUGUGUAUGUGCACGCACUUUGCGUCAGCCUCACUCAGCGCAAGUUCUGUUCUCGGAUUGUAAGCAACACACACGCGCACACACCACAAGUCAUAGUAAAGGUCUUGUAAACUGCUUCUGGUUAAUGGUCAUUGGAUUUGUCAUGUACUUAUGCUACAGUACCUGGCAAAAAUAUAUAUAUUUGACACUGGAGGAGGUUAUAUGGCUUAGUGGUGGAAUCCACCACUGAUUUUAUUAUCAAGGGGAGGCAAACAAGUGUUUUAUAUUGGACAGAGCAUAUAGUAUUCCGAUAAUGUGUGUAUAGAUAGAACACAUGAAAUUAAUUAAAAAUAGAAACAUAGAAAUGCAUCUUGAAAUAUAUGCAAAUGAAUCAACAAACUAUUUUAUCAUUUGCUUCUGAGAAUCAUUCAAAUUCUCUGAGGGUUUCGAUUUUUUUUCCAAGGACAAUCCUGUUAAAUAUUGUAGGGUGAUGCGAGAGAAAUUAAAUGAAAGGGUGGCCGCACAGCCCUCCAUGUGCUCGCCAGAGGUAGCCUGACUGCCAUUAGGUACCGAGAUGAGAUCCUCAGACACCUUGUGAGACCAUAUGCUGGUGCGGUUGGCCCUGGGUUCCUCCUAA